rnacentral:rRNA from 1 species
UUUGAACGCUGGCGGCAGGCCUAACACAUGCAAGUCGAGCGGAUGAAGGGAGCUUGCUCCUGGAUUCAGCGGCGGACGGGUGAGUAAUGCCUAGGAAUCUGCCUGGUAGUGGGGGAUAACGUCCGGAAACGGGCGCUAAUACCGCAUACGUCCUGAGGGAGAAAGUGGGGGAUCUUCGGACCUCACGCUAUCAGAUGAGCCUAGGUCGGAUUAGCUAGUUGGUGGGGUAAAGGCCUACCAAGGCGACGAUCCGUAACUGGUCUGAGAGGAUGAUCAGUCACACUGGAACUGAGACACGGUCCAGACUCCUACGGGAGGCAGCAGUGGGGAAUAUUGGACAAUGGGCGAAAGCCUGAUCCAGCCAUGCCGCGUGUGUGAAGAAGGUCUUCGGAUUGUAAAGCACUUUAAGUUGGGAGGAAGGGCAGUAAGCUAAUACCUUGCUGUUUUGACGUUACCAACAGAAUAAGCACCGGCUAACUUCGUG